rnacentral:sRNA from 1 species
CGGCGUGAGGACUCCCGCCUUCACGUAGUGCAUCAGCUCCGCCCCUCUCUGAGC